GCACUGCUGAAGAGUCCCAUAAUAGGACGAAACGGCCGUCCACUGC
rnacentral:hammerhead_ribozyme from 1 species